CGUGCUCGCUUCACUGCUCUGCUCUUGCUGUUCCCAUGGGAAGACAUUUUCCUUCAUUGCAGCCUCAGCUUGUGUAACCAAAGGAACUUCCGCUGUGUUCCAUCUUGCACAAGUAGGAGGUCCCGCUCUGUUUCCACCUCUGAGCCUCUGAAGUCCCUCACCAUUGGACCAAUUAUCUGGGUCAAGUAACCUGAGUGAGCUGAUUACAACCAGUAAUAAAACACAAAUGACAUCACAUAAAUCACACAAAUCACAUAAAU